rnacentral:rRNA from 1 species
GUGAGGAAUAUUGGUCAAUGGGCGAGAGUCUGAACCAGCCAAGUCGCGUGAAGGAAGACGGUUCUAUGAAUUGUAAACUUCUUUUGUGCAGGAAUAAAGUGGGUUACGUGUAACCUUUUGUAUGUACUGUACGAAUAAGGAUCGGCUAACUCCGUGCCAGCAGCCGCGGUAAUACGGAGGAUCCGAGCGUUAUCCGGAUUUAUUGGGUUUAAAGGGUGCGUAGGUGGAUUGAUAAGUCAGCGGUGAAAGUUUGCAGCUUAACUGUAAAAUUGCCGUUGAAACUGUCGGUCUUGAGUGCAAAUGAGGUAGGCGGAAUGUGUUGUGUAGCGGUGAAAUGCUUAGAUAUAACACAGAACUCCGAUUGCGAAGGCAGCUUACUGGGAUGCAACUGACACUGAUGCACGAAAGCGUGGGUAUCAAACAGGAUUAGAAACCCCGGUAGUCC